rnacentral:lncRNA from 10 species
GACGUGACUCUUUUCUUCUGCCUGAGCCUUUACAAUGGGGUGAUAUGACAUAUUGCUAAGCCCAAUACUUAGUUCACAGGCAUGAUGAUCAAAGUUAAAUUGGAAUUCCACCAAGAGUAGAUAUUUUGCCUCUCAUCGCUAUGCUUAGGGCAAUAGGUAAUAUUGUGCCAUAUACCAGAGACCAGAUCAAAGGCCUAAUAAGGACUCUUGUACCUGGAGCCAGGACUUGUGCAGGAUGGUGACUCUCAUCCCUGAACAUUUCCACAGGUGUUAUUGUGACAUAUACCUGUGCCCACCUCCUGAGUGAUUUAAUAAUCCUGCCUGUUAUAGCCCACAGAUGACAUAUUGACGUAUACCUGGGCCAAGAACCUUGGUGAUUUGACUCUCAUAUCUUAACAGUGUCCUCAGAAGGGACCGUCACAUAUCUCUGGACCCAUCAUCUAGGUUAUGUGACUCUCCUCUCCUACCUGAACCCUGCUUCCAGUGAAGAGUGUAGCAUUUCUAAGCACUGCAUCCAAAUGACAUGACUCUCUUGCCUGGGCCCUUUUAA